rnacentral:miRNA from 1 species
UGAGAUCAUUGUGAACACUGGUU